GCCUACGGGGGGCAGCAGUAGGGAAUAUUGCUCAAUGGGGGAAACCCUGAAGCAGCAACGCCGCGUGGAGGAUGAAGGUUUUCGGAUUGUAAACUCCUUUUGUUAGAGAAGAUAAUGACGGUAUCUAACGAAUAAGCACCGGCUAGCUCCGUGCCAGCAGCCGCGGUAAUACGGAGGGUGCAAGCGUUACUCGGAAUCACUGGGCGUAAAGAGCGCGUAGGCGGGAUAGCAAGUCAGAUGUGAAAUCCUAUGGCUUAACCAUAGAACUGCAUUUGAAACUGUUAUUCUAGAGUAUGGGAGAGGUA
rnacentral:rRNA from 1 species